ACAGACCAAUGGCCAGACUGAACGCAUGAACCAGGAACUGGAAUCAACCCUUCGCUGCUUCACAUCCACAAACCCAUCCGAAUGGAGCCAAUUCCUUCCCUGGGCUGAGUAUGCGCACAAUAGUCAUGUAUCCACCGCUACUGGGUUAUCACCAUUCGAAAUAUCCCUAGGCUAUCAACCACCGCUUUUCCCCUCAGAGGAGAAAGACAUUACAGUGACUUCAGUACGACACCACAUCCGUCGUUGUAAAAAGAUCUGGAGUAACACUGUCCAGGCCCUCAGCCGCACAGCGGAGCAAAAUAAACGCCAAGCAGACCGCAGGAGAAUCCCCGCUCCAAUCUACACUGCGGGUCAGAAAGUUUGGUUGUCCUCACAUAAUAUCCCGUUAAAAUCCAUGUCUAAGAAACUGUCCCCCAGGUUUAUUGGCCCUUUUGACAUUGAAUCCAUUAUCAGUCCGUCUGCGGUCCGCCUCCGUCUCCCUGCCUCCAUGCGCAUUCAUCCCACCUUCCAUGUUUCACAAAUCAAACCCGUCCAGGCCAGUACUCUCUGCCCUCCUUCCGAGCCCCCUCCUCCCGCCCGUGAUGUGGAGGGUGACCCGGUCUAUGCUGUCCGCCGGAUCGUGGACUCCCGUCGGCGUGGUCGUGGUUGGCAGUACCUCGUCGACUGGGAGGGCUACGGUCCGGAGGAUCGUUCUUGGGUUUCCGGGUCAUUUAUUUUGGACCCGUCUCUUAUUGCUGAUUAUCGGCGCUCUCUUCCUUCUAGCUCUUCUCGGCCGCCAGGUGGCGACCGUUGAGGGGGGGGUACUGUUGGGGAUAUGGGUUCCUGGUGGGGUUUCUGGUGGUGCUCCUACAGCUUUCCACCAGAUGGCGCCAGAGGUGGCUCCUCCUGGCGGGGCGUGCCGGUAUCAGGCGCACCUGAACCACAUCUUCUCAUCAUCUCGGGAGUUCAAGAGGAGCUGACUGCCGUUUCUCCGACGCCUGAGUGUUUGCCAACAAUGGUGUUUUCAGCCAGACGCUGAGUUUCCUCCGUGAGAGGUUUUUUCUCCCCUGGUUUUCCCUGUACCUACCUUCUCGUGACGCCGUGGAAGUUACCCACUGGUUGCCCGAGCUCCUUCCCUGUUUUCCUCAAGUGGACCAAGCCGUUUUCCUGAGGAAUCCUGACGUGCAGUCGAACCGCUCCUCUGUCUCCCACCGCCUGAACUUACCUGUCCGCCCUCCACCACAGCCUCUUCCGCGCCAGCUCACCCGAGCUACGGUCAAAGAAGAACCCCGUCCGAUCGGAACCCAACCCGGCAGAUUUCCCUCCCCAAUCUGAACCGCCAACUCCACAAUGAGCCGCCUUUUUCCAGAGCUGCCUCCAGAGUGCCGUGUCCUUUCAAGACAACCCUUAUCUGAAUCUGCAAUAAAUAUUAUUACUGAUCUUUUGUCUACUCUGUGGUGUUCUGCAUGUGGGCAAAAAGAGUU